GAGUCAUAGAAGAAAUUUUGGAGUUGCAUGAAGAAGCACUCUAUCUUCUUCUUCCCAACGAACAGAAAGAAAGAUAGCAACACAGAGCCCUAACACCUUCAUCGUCGUCAUCAUCUUCUUCUUCCUUUAACACGCUUUUCGUCUUACCAGGAUAUGGCAGCAGAUGAUGGUAUGUCAGACCCAGCAAAGCUCCCUCCAACACAGACCCAGCAAAGCUCCCUCCAACACAGACCCAGCAAUCCCAAGACCGCAACUCUUCAACCCCUUCUUCUGCUCUUCUAUCACUCCUCCCACCCCUUCCCAGAGCCCAAGCACUUCUUCUCCAAAUGGCUUCCUUAACUUCCAAGCUCUUUGAAGUUUCCCCUAACCGGUCUCUUUGGGUCACUGCCUUCCGUGGAUCCCUUCCAACUUUCCUCUUGUCUCAUUCAUCUACCCCGCUUGACGCUUCUCCAGCCACUGUAAAAGAAAUAAUUUCCCUCUUUACUGUUCUCCAAACCCAAAUAUUUGAAGCUGUUGCCGAACUCCAAGAGAUUCUUGACCUUCAAGAUGCCAAGCAGAAGAUGGACGGUGAAAUUUGUUCCCAAGAUUCAAUGAUACUUGCAUUUUCCAACAAACUCAAAGAUGCAGAAUGCUGCCUAGACAUUCUUGUCGAUGAUUACUCUGAUUAUCGCCGCUCCAAGCGAUCGAAAUCUGGAGAUGAUGAUUCCAUGACUUCAUCAACUGUCUCUUCUCAGUUGAAGCUGUCAGAUAUAUUAUCGUAUGCCCACAAGAUAAGCUACACCACCUUUGCACCUCCGGAAUUUGGAGCCGGCCAAGCUCCUCUUCGUGGUGCAUUGCCACCUGCACCGCAAGAAGAGCAAAUGAGAGCUUCUCAGUUGUAUAAUUUUGCCGACCUUGAUGUUGGAUUGCCUAAAGUCGAGUCCAAGGAUAAAAUUGUUGAAGCUAUUGUUGAGCCUCCAUCACAGAUGGGUACUAAUACAGUUCCGAAUUUGUCUGCAUUUCAAGGAAUGCUGCCUCCAGUGCCACCUGGUUGGAAGCCGGGGAUGCCUGUCCAGUUGCCUAUUGAUUUGCCACUGCCCCCGCCUGGGUGGAAACCAGGGGAUCCUGUGCCAUUGCCUCCCAUGGACUCUCUUCAAAUACCGAGAUUUGCAGAGCAACAAAUGCAACCUCACAUUCCUCAGCCCAAACAACCAGAAGUUAUUCAAGUGCAGCCAGUUAAUUUGGACCUUGGAGGAAGUGACACUAGUGACUAUAGUAGCGAUGAUGUCAGCUCUGAUGAUGAAGAUUGACAAGUUUGUUUAAACUGCUCAAUCACAAAUUGAUAACUGUACAGGCUCUAGAGAGCACAAACCAUAUCAGUGCGCAGUAACCACCAAGAUUUCAAUAAGCACUGCACCUAUACUAGUGGAGGUUGAUAUGCUCGAUGCUUAACUAUAAGUGGCAAUAAGUGAGUUUGCUGUCUCAUCAUUCAGAAUUAACGUACUCUAGAGUGAGUCUCAGUAUCAAUCAUUUAGGAUCUUGUUUUUCCUUGCACAACGGUCUAAUUUGCAUCAUUUUGUUUGAAUGAUGUUUACCAAGCACUGUCAAUUAGGAUAUUCUUCAUAUUAUUGUUGAGACACUGCCAUUGAAAUUGAAAUUGAAGUUAACCAAGCAUUUAUUUUUCUUCUUGCUUUACUAGUGCUUAGUGGUGGUGAGUUAACAUGCUAGUUGCUUUAUUACAAGUCUUUUAUAGUUGAGAUUUUAAGUUUAUCAGUCUGUGACGUUUAUAAUGUUUCGGCUCUAUUCUUUUUGUGGGGAAGGCUUCGUGGUGAUUGUUUCAUGGCUACGGAAAUGAGAGGAAAGGGGAACAAGGCUUGUAGGGAAGGAAUCUCUUGCUUUGUGUUACAAUAUAUGGUUCUUCACAAAAACUGACAGUAACUCUAACUGCCCCAUUCCUUGUGGUAAUUUCUACAAGACUACAAACAGUUUGUCUCAGUUGCUUACCUCCAGUUCUCUCUCCCUCGUAAAACUACCCUUUUUUGUUGCUAAAAUCAAGGGGAAGCCUGAUUUCAGAUUGUGAAUUCCUCUGUAUUUAUGAAAUAAUAAAGCAGUUAUAUGUCUGGGGCAUAGUGAUAAGGCCGCAUUGUGGGCAGUAUCUCACAUGGAUCAGAUAUAUCAUGAAACUAUAUGGGUAGUUCUUUAAUCUCAAUUUUAUGUCCCAUGUUUGUAUUAAAUCUGUUGUUGUUGAAGAUAAUGAUUAAUAUUUAUUUAUUUAUUUAUUUAUUUUUCUCGUGAGUACUCUAGAAUGUGCUUUGCAGUCUUGUUGAGGUAAAUGAGAAGGUGGUUAGUGAGAAAUUUUAGGAAAUUGGCUUCAAGUCUA